UACGAAGGGGGCUAGCGUUGUUCGGAAUUACUGGGCGUAAAGCGCACGUAGGCGGAUACUUAAGUCAGGGGGUGAAAUCCCCGGGGCUCAACCCCGGAACUGCCUUUGAUACUGGGUAUCUCGAGUCCGAGAGAGGUGAGUGGAAUUCCGAGUGUAGAGGUGAAAUUCGUAGAUAUUCGGAGGAACACCAGUGGCGAAGGCGGCUCACUGGCUCGGUACUGACGCUGAGGUGCGAAAGCGUGGGGAGCAAACAGG
rnacentral:rRNA from 1 species